rnacentral:misc_RNA from 1 species
AACGCACCUUGCGCUCCUUGGUAUUCCUUGGAGCAUGCCUGUUUGAGUGUCAUUAAAUUCUCAAAGCUUUUACAUAGUUUUUAUAUGUUGGUUUUGGAUGUGGGUUUGCAGGCUCAUACGGGAUGAGACUGGCUUUCCUAAAAUUUAUUAGCAGAGGAAUUUGUAGCGCAUAGCUGUAUUGGUGUGAUAGGAUUUAUGUCAUCACCAGAGUUGUGUGGCUAGCUGCUAUCUAACUGUCCAAUUGAUUGGACAAAACAAAGCAAGUUGACCUCAAAUCAGGUAGGAUUACCCGCUGAACUUAA